AGGAUUUUAAGUUAAUAAAAACUUUAAAUUUUCAAAAUUUAAAAUGGAAAAGAAUUUUCAAAUCUUA
rnacentral:tRNA from 1 species